AUGAAGGGCGGGAGCAAGGUGGUCGUGGUGCCCCACAAGCACGACGGCGUCUUCAUCGCCAAGGCCAAGGAGGACGCGCUCUGCACCAAGAACAUGGUCGCCGGGGAGUCCGUCUACGGCGAGAAGCGCGUCUCCGUCCAGAACGAGGACGGGACCAAGGUUGAGUACAGGGUGUGGAACCCCUUCAGAUCAAAGCUGGCUGCAGCUGUUCUUGGUGGCGUCGACAACAUCUGGAUUGCUCCUGGUGCUCGUGUGCUUUAUCUUGGUGCUGCCUCCGGAACGACUGUGUCUCAUGUGUCUGAUAUUGUUGGACCGACUGGGUUGGUGUAUGCUGUGGAGUUCUCACACCGGAGUGGCAGGGAUCUCGUCAACAUGGCCAAGAAGAGGACCAACGUGAUUCCCAUCAUUGAGGAUGCUAGGCACCCUGCAAAGUACCGCAUGUUGGUUGGCAUGGUUGAUGUUAUCUUCUCUGACGUUGCACAGCCUGACCAGGCUAGGAUCUUGGCCCUUAAUGCUUCAUACUUCUUGAAGAAUGGUGGUCACUUUGUCAUUUCAAUCAAGGCCAACUGUAUUGACUCCACCCAGGCUCCUGAGGCCGUGUUCGCUGCCGAAGUUGAGAAGCUGAAGCUUGAGCAGUUCAAGCCUUCGGAGCAGGUGACCCUGGAGCCCUUCGAGCGUGACCACGCCUGUGUUGUCGGUGGCUACAGGAUGCCCAAGAAGCCGAAGGCGACUUGA
rnacentral:rRNA from 1 species